rnacentral:rRNA from 1 species
UACAGAGGGUGCAAGCGUUGUUCGGAAUUACUGGGCGUAAAGCGCGUGUAGGCGGCGACGUGAGUCGGAUGUGAAAUCCCUCGGCUUAACCGAGGAAGUGCAUUCGAUACUGCGUUGCUUGAGUGCCGGAGGGGAUGGCGGAAUUCCCGGUGUAGAGGUGAAAUUCGUAGAUAUCGGGAGGAACACCUGUGGCGAAGGCGGCCAUCUGGACGGUGACUGACGCUGAGACGCGAAAGCGUGGGUAGCAAACAGG